GGGGAUGAUCGGCUUCGACACAUGGAGUUCGCGUCAUAUUGUGCACGCCGAGCAUGCUGGAGCACUCGUUAAACUUCGAGCACCCAUUACGUGCAGACGCACGAGGCGUAGUGUCACCUUACAGUGGCCUCGCUUUCGCUCGCGCUUAACUGCGAGCUGCUCUCCUAACCGAUUCUCGUAUUCGUUAGUAGAGUAUAAUAAACAAACGAGAUAGGUAUACGUUCUAACCGCACGCAUUACCAAAACUAAGGUUUGCGAUCAGAUGAGGUUUCGCUUUUCUUUUUACUCAUCUUUUCUAAGACCAUAAGAGAAGCUACGCGUGUAAACACAAUAUGAUGCGCCAUGCUGGACGCGGGUUCGAUUCCCGCCAUCUCCACAU
rnacentral:tmRNA from 1 species